AUGAACGCUGGCGGCGUGCCUAAUACCUGCAAGUCGAGCGAACAGACGAGGAGCUUGCUCCUCUGACGUUAGCGGCGGACGGGUGAGUAACACGUGGAUAACCUACCUAUAAGACUGGGAUAACUUCGGGAAACCGGAGCUAAUACCGGAUAAUAUAUUGAACCGCAUGGUUCCAUAGUGAAAGACGGUUUUGCUGUCACUUAUAGAUGGAUCCGCGCCGCAUUAGCUAGUUGGUAAGGUAACGGCUUACCAAGGCAACGAUGCGUAGCCGACCUGAGAGGGUGAUCGGCCACACUGGAACUGAGACACGGUCCAGACUCCUACGGGAGGCAGCAGUAGGGAAUCUUCCGCAAUGGGCGAAAGCCUGACGGAGCAACGCCGCGUGAGAGAUGAAGGUCUUCGGAUCGUAAAACUCUGUUAUUAGGGAAGAACAAAUGUGUAAGUAACUAUGCACGUCUUGACGGUACCUAAUCAGAAAGCCACGGCUAACUACGUG
rnacentral:rRNA from 1 species